GUGGUUGUAGCUCAGUUGGUUAGAGUGCCUGGUUGUGGCCCAGGAGGUCGUGGGUUCGAAUCCCACCAAUCACCCCA
rnacentral:tRNA from 1 species